GUCAAGCGAUGAAGCGCAUACGGUGGAUGCCUAGGCAGUCAGAGGCGAUGAAAGACGUGGAAGCCUGCGAUAAGGUUCGGCGAGGUGGCAAACGACCUGCGACCCGGACAUCUCUGAAUGGGGAAACCCACCCAAGGUAACUUGGGUAUCUCAUGUUGAAUAUAUAGACAUGAGAGGCGAACCGGGAGAACUGAAACAUCUAAGUACCCGGAGGAGAAGAAAACAAAAGUGAUUCCGAUAGUAGCGGCGAGCGAAAUUGGAUUAGCCCAAACCAGUAUUGUUACGGCAAUGCUGGGGUUGUAGGACCACGAUAUUCGAGUCAAGAUGAAUUAGAACAGUUUGGAAAGACUGACCAAAGAGGGUGAUAGUCCCGUAUAAGUAAAGAAUGAUAAGAUAGUGGUAUCCUGAGUAGUGCGGGGCACGUGUAACCCUGUGUGAAUCAGUCGGGACCAUCCGAUAAGGCUAAAUACUCCUGAGAGACCGAUAGUGAACUAGUACCGUGAGGGAAAGGUGAAAAGAACCCCGGGAG
rnacentral:rRNA from 1 species